UACGGAGGAUCCAAGCGUUAUCCGGAUUUAUUGGGUUUAAAGGGUGCGUAGGCGGAUUAUUAAGUCAGUGGUGAAAGCCUGCAGCUUAACUGCAGAACUGCCAUUGAUACUGAUGAUCUUGAGUACAGUUGAGGUGGGCGGAAUGUGUCAUGUAGCGGUGAAAUGCUUAGAUAUGACACAGAACACCAAUUGCGAAGGCAGCUCGCUAAACUGUAACUGACGCUGAGGCACGAAAGCGUGGGGAUCAAACAGG
rnacentral:rRNA from 1 species